UUAAAGCAAGCUGUCACUGCUUUUUUGGGCCAUCCUUCCAGCUAAAGAGCCAAAGGAGUAAGAAGUAAGUUAACAAGCCAAUGCAGACAGUAAUAUAUUUGUUUUUGCACCAGCCUUUGUAUUUGGUGAAUCAUGGGAGAAAACUAGGUGUUGCAAAUAUGUUAAAUGCCGCCAUCAGCCAAAAUCAUUCAACCUGUACUGUAUUAUUGAUCUUGAACCAAUAGCAAAGCAGGGUUUGUUUUGGGGAGGAGCUGUGCUGGCCCUGUUGAAUGGAUGUUGGUGUGGAAAUAAUACUCAUACCAAAAUGCUGCUCUUCUCCACUGUACCUGUUGUGGUUUGACAAAGGACCGCCGCUCCAGCAUCACGACUUCUCAGUGUGACCAAUCAGAAAGGGUACACAUCUCCCGUGCAUACAGUAAGCGUGGCUUCAAGGGUCGAGGAAAAAGUGAUGGCGACAAAGCGCCGCCCUCCCAG